rnacentral:rRNA from 1 species
UGUUGGGUUAAGUCCCGCAACGAGCGCAACCCCUAUCUUUAGUUGCCAUCAUUGAGUUGGGCACUCUAAAGAGACUGCCGGUGUCAAACCGGAGGAAGGUGGGGAUGACGUCAAGUCCUCAUGGCCUUUAUGACCAGGGCUACACACGUACUACAAUGGCCGGUACAAAGGGCAGCGACACAGCGAUGUGAAGCGAAUCCCGAAAAGCCGGUCUCAGUCCGGAUUGGAGUCUGCAACUCGACUCCAUGAAGUUGGAAUCGCUAGUAAUCGCGGAUCAGCACGCCGCGGUGAAUACGUUCCCGGGCCUU